rnacentral:rRNA from 1 species
UACAGGGGGUGCAACCGUUGCUCGGAAUCAUUGGGCGUAAAGCGCACGUAGGCGGUCUGUUAUGUCGGAUGUGAAAGCCCUUGGCUUAACUGAGGAAGUGCAUCCGAAACUGGCAGGCUAGAGUACUAAAGAGGGUCGCGGAAUUCCCGGUGUAGAGGUGAAAUGCGUAGAUAUCUGGAGGAACACCGGUGGCGAAGGCGGCAUCCUGGACCGGCAUUGACGCUGAGGAGCGAAAGCCAGGGGAGCAAACGGG